rnacentral:rRNA from 1 species
AAAAACAUGUCCUUUUGAUUUUUAUUUAAGGUCUAACCUGCUCAAUGAAUUUUAAAUAGCCGCAGUAUUCUGACUGUGCAAAGGUAGCAUAAUCAUUAGUUUUUUAAUUGAAAGCUGGAAUGAAGGGUUGAAUGAGAAAAUAGCUGUCUCUAUAAAAAUUUUAUAGAAUUUUAUUUUUAAGUUAAAAAGCUUAAAUUUUUGUAAAAGACGAGAAGACCCUAUAGAGUUUUAUAUUUAUAAAUAAUAUAUUUUUUUUAGUAUUUUAAAUUAUAUUAUAUAUAUAUUAUUUGGUUGGGGUGAUUAGAAAAUUAAUUAAACUUUUCUUUAAAUUUAAACAUUUAUUUAUGAUAUUAUGAUCCUUUUAUAAAGAUUAUAAGAUAAAAUUACCUUAGGGAUAACAGCGUAAUUUUUUUUGAGAGUUCUUAUCGAAAAAAAAGAUUGCGACCUCGAUGUUGGAUUAAAAUUAAUUUUUGGUGUAGAAGCUAAAUUGGAUUGGGUCUGUUCGACCUUUAAAAUUUUACUUGAUCUGAGUU